AAAAAAAAAAAAAAAUCAUCCAGAAAUUUUGUACCAGCUGUGUGAAAACAGUGGUUUUGUUUAUCUUUUAAAACUAGUUUUCUGCUGGCAUUUGGUCUUCUGAAGGAUUUGGUAAGCAGCAGCUCAUAACUCACUGUGAACAAACCACUGCUCUAAGGAAUCUGUAAACUGUGUCCGUGUGUCCGUAUCUCUCAUCAGCUUUGUCCACUCCAAACUGCAGUCUGGACUUCUUAGUCUAUCUACACAUGGCAGCGCUGUUCAUUUCAGCUGCUCUGCUCUGCCCCUUCUCAGAUUUCGCUGUACAGUGUGCCAGUGCCCAGGCACUGAUGGGAGUGUGCUGUAGGGUGGCCUCUGUGAGGGAAAGGCAGGACUGUGCUGUGCUGGACACAGGCAGAGCUCCAUCUGGGACACACCAAGGGCACAGCCCAGACCCUCAGUCAAGCAGCUGUAUCUGAAGGGGGCCUACCUGAAAAACAAACUGGGAGUUUUUACCAGGGCAUGUAAUGAUAGGACAAUGGAGAAUGGCUUUAAACUGAAAGAGGGAUUCUAUGGCUCUAAACUCCUCCUGCACCUUGUGAGUUCCCUGCCUGUCUGGACGGAUGCAGUAUAACCUGUGGGGAUAAUGGGGGCAGAGAAGAGGAGCCUGGCAUGAAGGAGCAACAAAGGCUGGAGGAAAGGCUGCCUGAAGAAGAGAACAAAACACGUCUUGUCUGGCACACAUUCUGGACUCCAAAUGGAUUCUGCAGUGGAGCACUUGAAAGGGGAGAGUUUACACUCUCUUAGCAUUUCUGGUUUGGCUUUCUCUGAUUUAUGGCUGCUGCUAGCAAAUCCUAAGAAGCUGUUCCAGAAACUUGGGUCAUUGUGACAUUUUCUGUUUGAGCUCUCAACCCUGGUGACUGGGGAAAAUGAGUUGUUUUGACCACAAAGUUAAAAGAAACUUUCAUGAUAUCCUAGAAUUAAUAUGACAAAUUUUCUCUGCUAGCCAUUUUUUACCAUGAGGCAUAAGCAAGCAUUUGGAUAAUUUCUUGCUGUUCAAAGCAGUUUAAUGCUUUCUUUUAGAAAAGGCCCCACUGCAAUCCAUAAUUGUGUUAAAAUGCUAGAUUAAAACUAUUUAAAAUUAUAGAUUGGGGUUCUGUUAUAUGAUUUGGGCAUUUAUAAUAAUUAGAUUUCUAUGUGAAAUCUGAACUGAUAAUUAGGGGAAGGGACAGCAACACUCCCACAGAUGGAAAUAAGGUUGUACCUGUCAGGAAGUUAAUUUGCAGUUAGCAAGGUAAGUAUUUAUCAGUACAGUAGCUAUUUUUGCCUAUUUCCCUAUGUGUAUACUUCCUUAGCAUGCAGUAAGGCUGCCUACACUGAGACUUAAAGCAAAAGAGCUAGUACAGUGUGAAGCAGACUCCUACAUUUAGCACUGUGGCGUACUGAGAUAAACUUCAUAGAGUCUUCUAUGCAAGUUGGCUGCCUUUCAAGGUUGCUCAGAGUCCUGUCCAGUCUGGCCAUUAAUGUUUCCAACCUUUCUAGGCAACCUCUUCCAGUGUUUAACCUCUCAUUUUAAAAUAUUUCUUCCAUAUAUUUUGUCUGAAUCUAUUCUUUUUUAGUUUGAAACCAUUGCCCCCUGUCCUAUUGCUACAGGCCCUAUUAAAAAACUUCUUGUCUCUGUCUUUCCUGUAACUCCCCUCAGGUACUGAAAGUUGGCAAUAAAGUCUUCCUAGAACCUUCUCCAGGAUCAACAGUCCCAAAUAUCUCAGUUUUAACUUGUAGAAGAAAUGUUCCAGCUCUCUGAUCGUCACUGUGGCCCUACUCUGGACUCAGUCCAAGAGGCCCAUGUCCUUCCUGAGCUGGGGAGCCUGGAGCUGGACACAGUACUCCAGGGUUGGGUCUCACAAGGGCACAGAGAGGGGGAGAAACAUUUCCCUACCUUGCUUUAGAGGCAGCCCAGGAUACACUUGGUUUUCUGGGCUGUGAGCACACAUUUUCAGCUCAUGUCUGACGUUUUGUCCAAGAGUAGUAGACAUCCAAGUCCCUUUCCACAGGUCUGCUCUCAAUUCCCCCAGCUGGGUCAACUGCGCCACUCAGUUUGGUGUCACGUGCACCACUCAGUUUGGUGUCACAUGCACCACUCAGUUUGGUGCCACCUGCAAACUUGUUGGCAGUGUACUCAAUCCCAGUGUCUGUGUCACUGAUUGUCAUGGUUUGAUGCUGGUGCUGUUUGACCACAACUUCCUGAAAAAUUCACUUCCUUAUCAAACCAGGACACUGAUGAAGAUGUCAAACAGUACUGGUCCCAAAAAGGACCCUUCAGGGACACUGCUCAGCACUGAGCUCCGUCUGGACUUUGAAGCAUUGCCCACUACUCUCUGGAUGCAACCACUCAGCCAGUUCCUUAUCCACCAAAUAUAGUCUAUUCAUCAAAUCCAUAUCAAAUCACAUAACACACUUAGAAAAAGUCAUCGUUUCAGUACUGACUUCCAUGUAGGAAGAGGAGAAAUAGAAUCCAAAUAUGAAAAAAGAAACACAAUUGAAGAAAGAGAGAAAGGUAAGCAAGACUAAGAGAAAAAUAAAAAUGUAGUUAUACCCAGAAAUUAGUCUAUGUAGGACCAAGUUUUUAAAAGCUCAUUAAUAUUUUGAUUUUACACCUACAUUUCCUGUGAAAACUGUUCAUUCCUACUUUUCUCUUUUUUUGUUGCAAAGAGUACAAAAAUACUUGACAUAUGCUGAGAUUAGAUAAUACUACUUUAUUAGAUGUAGAGCUUAGUUCAAACUUUUCUCAAUUCCUGUUCAGAUGAACCACAGAUAUCUACUUUUAGCCACACUGUGUAAAUACCUUUCAAACACAGUUCUUUCCAGGGGUUAACUACAUAAAGCAGACUGUAAAACCCAAAUGUCAGCCCCAAGUAUUGACCAUUCUAAAGUGUGAUUAACAUCAUCAUAAGAUGAACAGAAACAAAAACUGGCUGAUCGGGAGUAGUUUCACAAGAUUUUGUUACCAUUCUUAGUUCUCUGAUUUGAGUGGCUUCAUAAAUCAUGCCUCAAUAUAAGGCACGAACAAUAUUAGCCAUAAUUCAUUAAAUAGCCUCACCCAUCUCCCAAAAGCUAUGGAGGAAAUGUUAUACCCAAGAAUUUUGGGUUAAAAACCCUGUCAGUUACACAGCCUGCUUUAUAGAUGUAUUUAUUUAACUGAAUAAAUAAAUGCCAACAUGCAUAUUAUAUGUAAGAAAAAAUAUUCA